CGGGAAUCCUAGUGUGCUGGGUAGU
rnacentral:piRNA from 1 species